UCUGCCUUGAAGAUCGGAGUGCUUGCACUCUGUGAAACAAGAUACAGGCUAGCGGCGGACGGGUGAGUAACACGUGGGUAACCUGCCCAAGAGAUCGGGAUAACACCUGGAAACAGAUGCUAAUACCGGAUAACAACAGAUGAUGCCUAUCAACUGUUUAAAAGAUGGUUCUGCUAUCACUCUUGGGAUGGACCUGCGGUGUAUUAGCUAGUUGGUAGGGGUAAACGGGCCUACCAAGGCGGAUGAUGCAUAGCCGAGUUGAGAGACUGAUCGGCCACAUUGGGACUGAGACACGGCCCAAACUCCUACGGGAGGCAGCAGUAGGGAAUUUUCCACAAUGGACGCAAGUCUGAUGGAGCAACGCCGCGUGAGUGAAGAAGGGUUUCGGCUCGUAAAGCUCUGUUGUUGGUGAAGAAGGAUAGAGGUAGUAACUGGCCUUUAUUUGACGGUAAUCAACCAGAAAAGUCACGGGCUAACUACGUGCCAGCAGCCGCGGUAAAU
rnacentral:rRNA from 1 species